UCAAACCAAACAAAUUAAGCAGGUGUGUGUAGUACUCUUAAUGUGUUUAAAUUGAUGUUAAAGGCCUUCACAUUCCAUCUUACCUUUCUGGAACUUGACCUUUUUUUUGUUGCUCAAAUAUGUUUGGACUGUUCAAGCUUCCGCAGAUAUUUUGUCUGAAGUCAAAGAUGAUGAUUCAAAGAUUAAUUCAUAGCAAACCUCCUCAACAUCAAAUUGGCCCGUUGGAAACAGUGUUUGUGCUGACUGUGCUGACUUUAGCCACCUUGGGGCCUUCAGGAUGGAUCCUUGCCCACCUUGACUAUUACAAAAGUCGUGACUUAUACAAGAGUGCUGCUUAAAAGAUCAUGCACGUUAAAGCUAAUGUGUUCACAAGUAAUCAUGUUUGGUUACACAAAUAAACAGUGAUGCUUAAAUUCCA